ACGGGCGGGAGGGGUCGGGAAUUUCUCCCCCGCGCUGCGGCUGGGGGAGGGGAGGGGGGUCCCCGUCUGGGCGUCCGGGGGGCGCCCGCCCAGGAAGGGGCUUCCAUCCGGGAGGGGUGUGGACCCGCCCCCGACGCCGGGUAGCCAAGGUCAGGCCGACAGAACGCUCCACGUCACAGAUCGGAAAAAUCAAGCGAAAUAUGACCACGACGCACGGAUCAAAACGGCCACAAACCGAGAACGCCUCCCCCAGCGCUCGCUCCCUCCUGCGGCCGGGUCAGCCCCAUUUCACCGACGGGGAAACUGAGGCCGGGCAGGGCGGCCUUCUCCCGGCGUUCAUCCUCCUGCGGGCGGGGCCCGCCAGGCGCGGGGGAGUCUCAUUCCCGUGUGAUCGGCGAGGCCGGGACCAGGACCCCGGCGCAGGGGUCACGGAAGGAAGCGGAGGUCGGAUCACAAAAGAUGUGUGGGUAAACACGAUGUGGCCGUCCACGCACUGGGACAUGACUCAGCCGUGAACAGGAGCGAGGCUCUGACCCAGGCCACGGCGCGGAUGCACCUUGAGGACAUCACGCUCAGUGAGAGACGCCAGACACAGAAGGCCACGCAGCGUGUGAUCCCAUGUCUACGAAAUGUCCAGGACCUGCCGAUCCAGAGACAGGAAGGGGACUGGCUCCCCGAGGGCUGGGGGGGGAGGGGACAGGAGGGGAUGCCUAAUGGGGACAGGGCUUGUUUUGGGGGUGAUGAAAAUGUUCUGAAAUUGUGGUGAAAGAUACACAACUCUGCUGGGCGCGGUGGCUCACACCUGUAAUCCCAGCACUUUGGGAGGGCAAGGCAGGUGGAUCACAAGGUCAAGAGAUCAAGACCAUCCUGGUCAAUAUGGUGAAACCCCGUCUCUACUAAAAACACAAAAAUUAGCCGGGCAUGGUGGCACGUGCCUGUAAUCUCAGCUGCUCAGGAGGCUGAGGCAGGAGAACCGCUUGAACCCGGGAGGCGGAGGUUGCAGUGAGCCGGGAUUACGUCACUGCACUCCAGCCUAUGUGACAGAGAGACUCUGUCUCAAAAAAAAAGAAA